GACGAACGCUGGCGGCGUGCUUAACACAUGCAAGUCGAACGGACAGGCCCUGCUUUUGUGGGGUGCUCGAGUGGCGAACGGGUGAGUAACACGUGAGUAACCUGCCCUUGACUUUGGGAUAACUUCAGGAAACUGGAGCUAAUACCGGAUAGGAGUUCCUGCUGCAUGGCGGUGGUUGGAAAGUUUCGGCGGUUGUGGAAGGAAUCGCGGUUUACGAGCCUGUUGGGGGGGUUGUGGCGUACCAAGGCUAUGACGGGUAGCCGGCCUGAGAGGGUGACCGGCCACAUUGGGACUGAGAUACGGACCAGACUCAUACGGGAGGCAGCAGUGGGGAAUAUUGCACAAUGGGCGGAAGCCGGAUGCAGCAACGCCGCGUGCGGGAUGACGGCUGUCGGGUUGGAAACCGCUUUCGCCUGUGACGAAGCGUGAGUGACGGUAACGGGUAAAGAAGCAACGGCUAACUACGUG
rnacentral:rRNA from 1 species